rnacentral:rRNA from 1 species
GUUAUAUGGUCAAGUGAAGAAGCGCAUACGGUGGAUGCCUUGGCAGUCAGAGGCGAUGAAAGACGUGGUAGCCUGCGAAAAGCUUCGGGGAGUCGGCAAACAGACUGUGAUCCGGAGAUAUCUGAAUGGGGGAACCCAGCCAUCAUAAGAUGGUUAUCUUGUACUGAAUACAUAGGUGCAAGAGGCGAACCAGGGGAACUGAAACAUCUAAGUACCCUGAGGAAAAGAAAUCAACCGAGAUUCCCUUAGUAGUGGCGAGCGAACGGGGACCAGCCCUUAAGUUGUAUUGAGAUUAGCGGAACACUCUGGAAAGGGUGGCCAUAGUGGGUGAUAGCCCUGUACGCGAAAAUCCCUUUGCAAUGAAAUCGAGUAGGACGGGGCACGAGAAACCUUGUCUGAAUAUGGGGGGA